rnacentral:rRNA from 1 species
CAGUAGCCGCGGGAAUACGAAGGGGGCUAGCGUUGUUCGGAAUUACUGGGCGUAAAGCGCACGUAGGCGGAUAUUUAAGUCAGGGGUGAAAUCCCAGAGCUCAACUCUGGAACUGCCUUUGAUACUGAAGAUCUUGAGUUCGGGAGAGGUGAGUGGAACUGCGAGUGUAGAGGUGAAAUUCGUAGAUAUUCGCAAGAACACCAGUGGCGAAGGCGACUCACUGGCCCGAUACUGACGCUGAGGCACGAAAGCGUGGGGAGCAAACAGGAUUAGAGACCCGGGUAGUCCCUGUCUCUUAUAC